rnacentral:rRNA from 1 species
AUUGAACGCUGGCGGCAGGCCUAACACAUGCAAGUCGAGCGGAGCGGCGGGCGGGUGAGUAAUGCCUAGGAAUCUGCCUGGUAGUGGGGGAUAACGUCCGGAAACGGGCGCUAAUACCGCAUCCUAUCAGAGGAGCCUAGGUCGGAUGAGCUAUUUGGUGGGGUAAAGGGCUACCAAGGCGACGAUCCGUAACUGGUCUGAGAGGAUGAUCAGGCACACUGGAACUGAGAGACGGUCGAGACUCCUACGGGAGGCAGCAGUGGGGAAUAUGGGAUAAUGGGCGAAAGCCUGAUCCAGCCAUGCCGGGUGUGUGAAGAAGGUCUUCGGAUUGUAAAGCACGUUAAGUUGGGAGGCGGUACCAACAGAAUAAGCACCGGCUAACUUCGUGCCAGCAGCCGCGGUAAUUC